AGUUCAAGUUUUUCGGUAACUGUUUCAUAUGCCCUGAACUUCGCUGCUAGUGCUAUUGAUCUGGAACAGUUGCAUCUUUUCCCAUACUUCUUUCCAUGCAAACUAUGAGACCGCUGCUAGUGCUAUUGAUCUGGAACAGUCGCAUCUUUUCCCAUACUUCUUUCCAUGCAAACUAUGAGACUCUACUUUUCUCGGGUCUUGGAAUGUGGUUGCUACUAUUGAUCUUUGCAGAAGAAAAUCCAUGUUGGGUUGUUUUGGUUUUCCAUCUACCAAUAUUAUCUGCUUAACCAGUAUAUUCUUUUCUUCCGUUAUAGUUUUAAGAUGUGUCAUAGGCAGUCAAAUGCACAAUUUAACUUCAGUAUUGUUUCCUACAAUAUGAGUGUUAGUCUAAGCCCUGUGACCUUAUAUGCUGCUGCUGACUAAUGGUGUGAACUGCACUUUACUGAUAUAUAGGGGGAAAAACUUUGAUAUUUCUGCUAUCCUCCUUUUUCUCUAUAUU
rnacentral:lncRNA from 1 species